ensembl:lncRNA
GAAAGCCCAGGAGCACAAGCGCGACUUCUCCGAGAAGCAGCUGAAGGAAGGCAAGAGCAUCAUCGGGCUGCAAAUGGGGUCCAACCAGGGGGCUUCGCAGGCGGGCAUGACGGGCUACGGGCGGCCCAGGCAGAUCAUCAGCUAAGGCCGCCUCCGGACCCCCGCAAGACCCCCAACACACCCCGACAACCUCCUUCCAUCCAUCCUUUCCUUCCUUUGCAAUCCCUGCUUGGCUGCAAAAAGCACCCUCGCUCCCAUUAGCCAUGUGCAAAAAAAUAUGAUUCAAAACUCAUUACAACAUUUCGUUCCCAAAACGUUCCUGGCGAAAAUUUCGUUCCGAAAUUGGUUUUGUGCAUGCUCUUGGGGAAGCUUCCCGAGCUCCUUUCGUUUUUGCAGAUAUAGAGGAGAAAUUUGCUAUGUUUAUAGAAUAUGUUCCCCGCUGUUAGCAUGCCAAGUUUUGGAGCAUUUCACCCAUGCAUGGAUUUAUGGGGAAUUUUUACCAUGUUUUUCGUUCCGAAAUUCAUUUCAUGCAUGCUUGUGGGGAAGAUUCCGGGGUUUUUUCUCCCUCGUUUUCGCAGCGAUCAGGGCGAAAUUUGCUAUGUUUAUAGAAUAUGUUCCCCACUGUUAUCAGGCCAAGUUUCGGAGCGUUUCACCCAUGCAUGUAUUUUUGGGGAAUUUUUACAAUGUUUUUUGUUCCGAAAUUCAUUUCGUGCAUGCAUGUGGGGAAGCUUCCCGAGCUCUUCUCCCUCAUUUUCGGAGAUAUUGGGGCGAAAUUUGCUAUGUUUAUAGAAUAUGUUCCCCGCUGUUAACAAUUUUCACCAUAUUUUUACAAAACAUAUAUUUUUUUAAAAAGCACAAGAGCAAUCGCCUCGGGUUUCGUAGGCUAUGACCCUAGAUAACAGGGGAUCAUUCCUGCCAAGUUUCGGAAAAAUACACACAACUAUUGAUUUUUUGGGAAUUUUAAAAUUCUUUUGCAUGGGCCAACUUGGGUGCUUCAUCCGAAAAGGAAGGCCCAAGUUGGCCCAUGCCUGCUGUAAACAAUGGAGAGGAAUUAUAUCCCCUUCUCUUCCCCUCUGUUUUGUAUUUCAUCGUCGUCGUCCAUCGAUUAAAAACAAAAUAUACGACAUUUUAAAAUAAAAAAAAGCUUUCUUGGUCUUUUAUUUGGAGCCUCCGUCCCCAUUUCCCCAAGUCCGGAAAGCUGGGAAAAUAGACACAACAAGGCCGAUGACACGCAACACAAGGAGCGGGAUCCAAAGGCACCUUUGGUCAGCGUGGGUUUAGUUUUGGAAAGAUGCAAAAGAAACAGGUCCCGGCUGUCGACGUUGUUGUUUUUCCAACAAAAAUGGUAAUCAAAACAAUAAUAAUCACAAGAAUAACAACCUUGGCUUUGGUGGUAAGGAGGUCAUUCUCUCCAAUGACCAAAAGCAUCUAUCGGCAGAGGAUAGAGGAGAGAGCAAGUGUUGGCUUGGGGAUGCCAGGAUGGACAAACGGCUGGACAAAUGGCCAGACGUCCAUGCAAAAAGGCAGCCCAGUGAAUGCUGGCACUGACCGCCAUCAUCCCAUUGCAAAGCCAAUGCAAAGCCAUUG